rfam:Capsicum annuum cultivar Zunla-1 chromosome 4, whole genome shotgun sequence
UGAUGGUGAUGAGGAUAAUUUUUGAUCAUGCCUUUGAAUCUCUCCCAAGCUUGGUAGAGAUUUUCUCCAUCUUUUUGUUUGAAGCUCAAUAUCUCACUUCUCAACCG